rnacentral:rRNA from 1 species
GAUGAACGCUGGCGGCGUGCCUAAUACAUGCAAGUCGAGCGAACGGACGAGAAGCUUGCUUCUCUGAUGUUAGCGGCGGACGGGUGAGUAACACGUGGAUAACCUACCUAUAAGACUGGGAUAACUUCGGGAAACCGGAGCUAAUACCGGAUAAUAUUUUGAACCGCAUGGUUCAAAAGUGAAAGACGGUCUUGCUGUCACUUCUAGAUGGAUCCGCGCUGCAUUAGCUAGUUGGUAAGGUAACGGCUUACCAAGGCAACGAUGCAUAGCCGACCUGAGAGGGUGAUCGGCCACCCGGGAACUGAGACACGGUCCAGACGCCUACGGGAGGCAGCAGUAGGGAAUCUGCCGCAAUGGGCGAAAGCAUGACGGAGCAAGGCCGCGUGAGUGAUGAAGGUCUUCGGAUCGUAAAAAUCUGUUAUGAGGGAAGAACAUAUGUGUAAGUAACUGUGCACAUCUUGACGGUACCUAAUCAGAAAGCAACGGCUAACUACGUG